rnacentral:lncRNA from 1 species
UGAUUGACGGUGCAAAGCGUCAAUUUUAUCUCCAAAAAAUUGCUUUAAUGCAUCAAAAUCAUUCUCUAACUUCUUUGAACGCUCCCUAGCCUCUUCGGCGACCUUGGUAGCCACUUGAGCUUGGGCCACUGCAUCCUGAGCAAUUUGUUCAGCUCUAAUUCUAGCUGCCAUCUCCGCUUCUAAAGACAUCCCAGUCAUAGAAUUAGA